CCCUUAGAUGUCCUGGGCCGCACGCGUGCUACACUGACGCAUACAGCGAGCACUUUCCAGUUCCGAGAGGCUACUGGUAAUCAUCAAUAUGCGUCGUGAUGGGGAUAGAUCUUUGGAAUUCUGGAUCUUGAACGAGGAAUGCCUAGUAAUCGCAGGUCAUUAGCCUGCGAUGAUUAAGUCCCUGCCCUUUGUACACACUGCCCGUCGCUACUACCGAUUUCGAGUGGUCAGGUGAAUCUUUCGGACUGUGGGCGCCCUUGAGGUGUUCGCGGAAAGUCAGGUAAAUCUUAUCACUUAGAGGAAGUAAAAGUCGUANCA
rnacentral:rRNA from 1 species